AACAUGCAAGUCGAACGAUGAACCGCUUUCUGGCGGGGAUUAGUGGCGAACGGGGUGAGUAACACGUUGGGCAAUCUGCCCUGCACUCUGGGACAAGCCCUGGAAACGGGGUCUAAUACCGGAUAUGACUGUCCAUCGCAUGGUGGAUGGUGUAAAGCUCCGGCGGUGCAGGAUGAGCCCGCGGCCUAUCAGCUUGUUGGUGAGGUAGUGGCUCACCAAGGCGACGACGGGUAGCCGGCCUGAGAGGGCGACCGGCCACACUGGGACUGAGACACGGCCCAGACUCCUACGGGAGGCAGCAGUGGGGAAUAUUGCACAAUGGGCGAAAGCCUGAUGCAGCGACGCCGCGUGAGGGAUGACGGCCUUCGGGUUGUAAACCUCUUUCAGCAGGGAAGAAGCGAAAGUGACGGUACCUGCAGAAGAAGCGCCGGCUAACUACGUGCCAGCAGCCGCGGUAAUACGUAGGGCGCAAGCGUUGUCCGGAAUUAUUGGGCGUAAAGAGCUCGUAGGCGGCUUGUCAAGUCGGUUGUGAAAGCCCGGGGCUUAACCCCGGGUCUGCAGUCGAUACUGGCAGGCUAGAGUUCGGUAGGGGAGAUCGGAAUUCCUGGUGUAGCGGUGAAAUGCGCAGAUAUCAGGAGGAACACCGGUGGCGAAGGCGGAUCUCUGGGCCGAUACUGACGCUGAGAGCGAAACCGUGGGGAGCGAACAGGAUUAAAUACCCUGGUAGUCCAC
rnacentral:rRNA from 1 species